GACGAACGCUGGCGGCGUGCUUAACACAUGCAAGUCGAACGGAAAGGCCCUGCUUUUGUGGGGUACUCGAGUGGCGAACGGGUGAGUAACACGUGAGUAACCUACCCUUGACUUUGGGAUAACUUCAGGAAACUGGGGCUAAUACCGGAUAGGAGCUCCUGCUGCAUGGUGGGGGUUGGAAAGUUUUGGCGGUUGGGGAUGGACUCGCGGCUUAUCAGCUUGUUGGUGGGGUAGUGGCUCACCAAGGCUUUGACGGGUAGCCGGCCUGAGAGGGUGACCGGCCACAUUGGGACUGAGAUACGGCCCAGACUCCUACGGGAGGCAGCAGUGGGGAAUAUUGCACAAUGGGCGGAAGCCUGAUGCAGCAACGCCGCGUGCGGGAUGACGGCCUUCGGGUUGUAAACCGCUUUCGCCUGUGACGAAGCGUGAGUGACGGUAAUGGGUAAAGAAGCACCGGCUAACUACGUG
rnacentral:rRNA from 1 species